AAUAAACCCCAAAACCAUAAUGUUUGUGUGUGGUCGAAUCGUAUUCAACCGAGGUCCCCGAAUCUCAGUACGCAACACAUGUCGAACUCUGCCUCUCGCUCGCCGUAAUCCUGCGACGUUGAUUCUCUCACCCAUUUAGUUACCCUGCACUUUUUCGCUUAGGCUUUCGCUUCCCCACCUCCCAACAAACCGACCGAAUCUAUUGAAUAUUUGACCCAAAGAUCCCUGCUUUUCUAUCCCAUUUUUCCAGACCAGCAAAAUAAAUCUCCAGUUUCCGGUUUCUCGGUGACGCCAAGAGCGGUUUUCCGGCCGACCCAGAGGGAGAAGAGCCUCUGCUUCCAUACGUAGGCAGCCCAAGAGGUGAAAAAAAUUGGACGUUGACCCAAGUUCCUUGCAACCCUCCCCACAAUACCAUUUCUCCCAACCAACCAAGACGGUUUCCGGUUUCCCGGCGGCACCAGAAGCGGUUUUGCUGGCGGAACCAGAUGGAGAAAGAGCCAUUACUCCCAUACGUAGGCAGCCCUAGAAGAAAGCUGUCACCUUUACCGACUCUCUGCCCACUUCCAGAAGAGGAUGAAGUCACUGUUCCUUUAACCCCUUCGGAAUUCAAAGACCGUAUAAUCUUUGGCCCUGCGACUGCUUCGACGCAGGAUUCUUCUCCUCUUGUCGAUGCAUUGACUCUGCCUAUCAAUUCUCCAAGAACUUCAAGACCCCCUUCGUCGUCUUCUCUGUUGGACUCCGUAGCCACAAUCUCACAGGACCCACAAACCCAACAGCCACCCCUGCAAUCAUGGCUCAUCGACCCCAAUUGCUCAUGGACCAAAACCAACCUCCACCGCUCCAAAACAGCUCCUGCCAUGGCCGUGAUCAACGAGGUGGCGAACCGGCGCUCUGUUCCCAGACCCCAAUUCGGUUCACAGUCGAUUGUAAGACAAGCUGUUGUACUUCUUGUUAUAUAUCUUGCAUUGGGUGUGACUAUAUAUUGGUUUAACCGUGAUCAUUUCGCUGCGUCGGAGACGCACCCUGUGGUUGAUGCAUUAUACUUUUGUAUUGUGACAAUGUGCACAAUUGGGUAUGGAGAUAUUACGCCUACUACUACUGCAACCAAGUUGUUUUCGAUAAUGUUUGUGUUGGUGGGGUUUGGAUUCAUUGAUAUUUUGCUUAGUGGGAUGGUUAGUUAUGUGCUUGACUUGCAAGAGACUUAUUUGUUGAGGAGCCUUAAGGAUGUGGGUGAGAAAAAGGAGUCCUACAUAUUUGAUGUUAAGAAGGGGAGGAUGAGGAUUAGGAUGAAGGUGGGAUUGGCGUUGGGAGUUGUGGUUCUUUGUAUUGGGAUCGGUGUGGGUGUGAUGCAUUUCGUGGAAAAGCUUGGAUGGUUGGAUUCGUUUUAUCUUUCGGUUAUGUCAGUUACCACAGUAGGGUAUGGUGACCGGGCUUUCCAGUCUUUGCCAGGACGUAUCUUUGCUUCAAUUUGGUUGCUUGUGUCGACACUUGCAGUUGCUCGAGCAUUUCUGUUUUUGGCUGAGGCUAGGGUGGAUAAGCGGCAUAGGAGGAUGGCGAAGUGGGUUCUUGGUCAGGAUAUGACUGUUUCUGAGUUUCUUGCUGCUGACAUUGACAAUAAUGGUUUUGUGAGUAAGUCGGAAUAUGUCAUAUACAAACUCAAGGAGAUGGGAAAGGUAUCAGAGAAAGAUAUUAUGCAGAUCUGCACCCAAUUCGAUAGGCUAGACACUGGGAACUGCGGAAAGAUAAGCCUUGCUGAUCUUAUGAGUCGACCUUGAUAUCCAAGUACCUUUUCGUUACUUUUCAUCUUGAUAGAGCAACGCAAGCAUAUACCUUCUCUCUUUAAACAUGAAGUAUGAUAAGCCAGAUAUUUCACGGAAGUCACAAAUGAAGCAUGAACUUCGCUGCCAUAUCGCAGGUCAUGAGUUGUAGUGUCAAUGAAUUGGGUUUGAAACGAAUGAAUCAAAGGAGUAUUGACGGACAUAAGCAAGGGGAUGACUGGAUGAGUGCAUAAAGAGAAAACAAGAGCGAAAAUUACUAUCCGGCACUCAUGACUCAAAAUAGCCGUUAUCCUGCCGCCCCGACAGCAUGAUUUUUCCGGCUGAUAACUUGGUACCAGCCGGUGCAUUGUCACCAACACAUAACAAAAGUUUGCCCUAAAUCUUUAGAAACAAAAGUAAAAAGUUAAAUGUGGAAAGGUUAUGUUGAAAAAUGCCAACAUGUGUGUUUGAAUGUUGACGGCACACUCUCAUUGAAAGUUUUGCUGCCCACGUUUCAACACAAGUACGUAUGUUCCAUACUUAUAUUCUUUUUCUUGGAAAGCAUGAAAGGCAAUCAUAAGAAACCCUAGAGUCUUGCAUUUU